UACGAAGGGGGCUAGCGUUGCUCGGAAUCACUGGGCGUAAAGCGCACGUAGGCGGACUCUUAAGUCAGGGGUGAAAUCCUGGAGCUCAACUCCAGAACUGCCUUUGAUACUGGGACGUUCUUGAGUUCGGGAGAGGUGAGUGGAACUGGCGAGUGUAGAGGUGAAAUUCGUAGAUAUCGGGAGGAACAUCAGUGGCGAAGGCGGCUACCUGGCCCAAU
rnacentral:rRNA from 1 species